AUACAGGGGGUGCGAGCGUUAAUCGGAAUUACUGGGCGUAAAGAGUACGUAGGCGGUUGCUUAAGUCAGAUGGGAAAGCCCCGGGCUCAACCUGGGAACUGCAUUUGAAACUGAGUGACUAGAGUUUAAGAGAGGGGAGUAGAAUUCCGGGUGUAGCGGUGAAAUGCGUAGAGAUCCGGAGGAAUACCAGUGGCGAAGGCGGCUCCCUGGCUUAAAACUGACGCUGAGGUACGAAAGCGUGGGUAGCAAACAGGAUUAGAAACCCUAGUAGUCC
rnacentral:rRNA from 1 species